GUGGGGAAUAUUGGACAAUGGGCGCAAGCCUGAUCCAGCCAUGCCGCGUGUGUGAAGUAGGCCUUUUGGUUGUAAAGCACUUUAAGCGAGGAGGAGGCUCCUUUAGUUAAUACCUAAAGAGAGUGGACGUUACUCGCAGAAUAAGCACCGGCUAACUCUGUGCCAGCAGCCGCGGUAAUACAGAGGGUGCGAGCGUUAAUCGGAUUUACUGGGCGUAAAGCGUGCGUAGGCGGCUUUUUAAGUCGGAUGUGAAAUCCCUGAGCUUAACUUAGGAAUUGCAUUCGAUACUGGAAAGCUAGAGUAUGGGAGAGGAUGGUAGAAUUCCAGGUGUAGCGGUGAAAUGCGUAGAGAUCUGGAGGAAUACCGAUGGCGAAGGCAGCCAUCUGGCCUAAUACUGACGCUGAGGUACGAAAGCAUGGGGAGCAAACAGGAUUAGAUACCCUUGUAGUCC
rnacentral:rRNA from 1 species